UGCUGUCAUGUGCAAUUGUUGUUUUCUAGACCUCUCAAUACUCUUUGUAGUCCAUUGUUUAUAAGUACUUUAAUUUUUUUUUUUUUAUUGCUUUUGAUCAUUUUUGUCAAGGUCAGUUUCAUUCGGUUUAAAAAAAAAAGGCACAAAGACAAAGCAGUCCCUCGUUCAUUUUCAAGGCGAACUAACAAUGAGUUUGUUCACAUGUGUGGGAGUAGAACUGAUGUCUGUGGUUUUUAAGAAAAUGAACACGUUUGCAACCUCGAGCCAACAGCUGAAUGGGAUUUGGACAAGUGAAGAAAAUGAAGCUCAUUUGGAGACACGGUGAAUGUCACAACAUUCCCCAGCAGAGCGAGCACUGUUUGCAUUCUGAUUACACGUGGUGCUUCUUGGUCUGGCUGGGGAAACUACACGGCGCCCCCUAUCGGAUGACAAAGGGAUUAAACGCAAAGAACGGUUGUGAGCAACUCUUUGCACGCCAAUGAAAUGGAAACACCUGGGUUAUGAUGACAGGUAUUUUGAUUAUGUCGCCUUAACAUGUAUGUACCAAAACAACAAUGAUUUGUGAUGCUUGGUUCCAUUUUGAAGUUGGCUUAUUGAGAAAGACAGCAGAUCGGUGGUAGGCCUCAUGAAAGAAGGUCUACUGGAGAUUUUGUAAGAAGGGUUUACCUGUCAAAUGAAAGUUCAGUCCAAAAGUC